UGGCUGCUGGCCUGAGGCUGAGUUAAGAAGUCAGCCGUGGAGACUGGAACAUCUCUCUGGGUGUCGGAACUGAAAACUGAUCUGGAGGAUGUUGGGCUCCAAGAACAUGCCCUGGCGGCGGCUGCAGGGCAUUUCCUUCGGGAUGUAUUCAGCUGAAGAGCUCAAGAAAUUAAGUGUUAAAUCCAUUACAAACCCUCGGUACCUGGACAGCCUGGGGAACCCGUCAGCGAAUGGCCUGUAUGAUUUAGCUUUGGGCCCUGCCGAUUCCAAAGAGGUGUGCUCCACCUGCGUGCAGGACUUCAACAACUGCUCCGGGCACCUGGGCCACAUUGAGCUCCCGCUCACGGUGUACAACCCUCUCCUCUUCGACAAACUCUACCUGCUGCUCCGGGGCUCUUGUUUAAACUGCCACUUGCUGACCUGUCCCCGGGCUGUGAUUCACCUCUUGGUCUGCCAGCUGAGGGUUCUGGAAGUCGGGGCCCUACAAGCAAUAUACGAGCUCGAGCGAAUUCUGAACAGGUUUCUGGAAGAAAACGCUGAUCCUUCUGCCUUCGAAAUUCAAGAAGAGUUAGAAAAGUACACAACCAAAAUUGUGCAGAACAACCUCCUGGGGUCCCAGGGCGCAUAUGUGAAAAAUGUGUGUGAGAGCAGGAGCAUGAUCCUUGCUUACUUCUGGAAGGCACAUAUGACUGCCAAGCGAUGUCCUCACUGCAAGACUGGACGGUCAGUUAUCCGAAAGGAGCACAACAGCAAGUUAACGGUCACGUAUCCGGCCAUGGUGCACAGGAAAGCCGACCAGAAGGACACAGAGCCCCUGGGAAUUGAGGAAGCUCAGAUGGGAAAACGAGGGUACCUGACACCCACCAGUGCCCGAGAACAUCUUUUAGCCCUUUGGAAGAAUGAAGGAUUCUUUCUGAAUUACCUUUUCUCCGGACUGGACAACGUUGGCACAGAGUCCAGAUUCAACCCCAGUAUGUUCUUCCUCGAUUUUUUGGUAGUGCCACCCUCAAGGUAUCGCCCUGUCAGUCGCCUGGGGGACCAGAUGUUUACCAAUGGCCAGACAGUGAACUUGCAGGCUGUCAUGAAGGACAUAGUUCUGAUCCGAAAGCUUCUGGCACUCAUGGCUCAAGAACAGAAGCUGCCAUGUGAGGUGGUGGCUCUCGCCACAGACGAGGAAAAAGACUCUUCAAUUGCUGUGGACCGAUCCUUUUUAAGUACACUUCCAGGCCAGUCCCUCACAGACAAACUUUACAACAUUUGGAUUCGCCUUCAGAGCCAUGUCAAUAUUGUGUUUGAUAGCGAGAUGGACAAAUUAAUGAUAGAAAAGUAUCCUGGCAUUAGACAGAUCCUGGAGAAGAAGGAAGGCCUGUUCCGAAAGCACAUGAUGGGAAAGCGAGUAGACUAUGCAGCCCGCUCGGUCAUCUGCCCAGACAUGUACAUCAACACCAACGAGAUUGGAAUUCCCAUGGUAUUUGCCACAAAACUGACCUACCCUCAACCAGUUACCCCCUGGAACGUUCAGGAACUGAGACAAGCAGUCAUCAACGGCCCCAACAAGCACCCAGGAGCCUCCAUGGUCAUCAACGAAGAUGGCAGUCGCACAGCACUGAGUGUCACAGAUAUAACACAGCGGGAAGCCGUGGCCAAACAGCUCUUGACCCCAGCCAUGGGGGCACCUAAGUCCCAUGGGACAAAAAUUGUAUGCCGGCACGUGAAGAAUGGGGACAUUCUCCUACUGAACCGACAGCCCACCCUUCAUAGACCCUCCAUCCAGGCCCACCAUGCCCGCAUCCUGCCUGAAGAGAAAGUCUUACGGCUCCACUAUGCCAACUGCAAGGCCUAUAAUGCUGACUUUGAUGGAGAUGAGAUGAAUGCACACUUCCCCCAGAGUGAGCUGGGCCGGGCCGAGGCCUAUAUCCUGGCCUGUACCGAUCAGCAGUACCUUGUUCCCAAGGAUGGCCAGCCAUUGGCAGGAUUGAUCCAAGAUCAUAUGGUUUCAGGUGCAAGCAUGACCACACGGGGUUGCUUUUUCACCCGGGAACAAUACAUGGAGCUGGUGUACCGAGGACUCACAGACAAAGUGGGGCGCGUGAAGCUCUUUCCUCCUACCAUCCUGAAGCCCUUUCCACUGUGGACAGGAAAGCAGGUUGUGUCAACGCUGCUCAUAAACAUAAUCCCGGAGGACCACAUCCCACUAAAUUUAUCUGGAAAGGCGAAAAUCAGCGGGAAAGCGUGGGUGAAGGAAGCUCCUCGUCCUGUUCCCAGAUUUAACCCUGACUCAAUGUGCGAGUCCCAGGUGAUCAUCCGGGAAGGGGAGCUUCUCUGCGGCGUGCUGGACAAGGCACACUACGGGAGCUCUGCCUACAGCCUGGUGCACUGCUGCUAUGAGAUCUACGGGGGUGAGACCAGCGGCAAGGUUCUCACUUGCCUGGCCCGCCUCUUCACUGCCUACCUGCAGCUCUACAGGGGCUUCACCUUGGGCGUGGAAGACAUUUUGGUGAAGCCGAAGGCGGACAUCAAGAGACACAGGAUCAUUGAAGAAUCCACCCACUGUGGCCCCCGGGCUGUCAGGGCUGCAUUAAACCUGCCAGAAACUGCAUCACAUGAUGAGGUACGAGAGAAGUGGCAGGAUGCCCAUCUGGGCAAAGACCAGAGGGAUUUUAACAUGAUUGAUCUGAAAUUCAAGGAGGAAGUGAACCAUUACAGCAAUGAGAUUAACAAGGCAUGCAUGCCAUUUGGCUUGCACCGACAGUUCCCAGAGAACAACUUGCAGAUGAUGGUGCAGUCAGGAGCAAAAGGUUCAACUGUGAACACGAUGCAGAUCUCGUGCCUGCUGGGCCAGAUUGAAUUGGAAGGUCGGAGACCCCCACUGAUGGCAUCUGGCAAGUCACUGCCCUGCUUUGAGCCUUAUGAGUUCACCCCCAUGGCUGGAGGCUUCGUCACUGGCAGAUUCCUCACCGGCAUUAAGCCUCCAGAGUUCUUCUUUCACUGCAUGGCAGGGCGAGAGGGCCUGGUCGACACUGCUGUGAAAACCAGCCGCUCUGGCUAUCUCCAAAGGUGUAUCAUCAAGCACCUGGAGGGGCUGGUCGUCCAGUAUGACCUGACAGUCCGCGACAGUGAUGGCAUCGUGGUGCAGUUCCUGUAUGGGGAGGAUGGCCUGGACAUCCCCAAGACACAAUUCCUGCAGCCCAAGCAGUUCCCUUUCCUGGCCAGCAACUAUGAGGUGAUAAGGAAAUCGAAGCAUCUCCAUGAAGUGUUAUCCAGAGCAGAACCCCAGAAAGCUCUCCGCCACUUCAGAGCCAUCAAAAAAUGGCAAAGCAAGCAUUCGGAUGCUCUGCUGAGAAGAGGCGCCUUCCUGAAUUAUUCCCAGAAAAUGCAGGCAGCUGUGAAAGCCUUGAACCUCCAGGGCGAGAACCAAAAUGGCCGCAGCCCCGGGACUCAGCAGAUGCUGAGUAUGUGGUGUGAGUUGGAUGAGGAGAGCCGAAGGAGAUACCAGAAGAAGGCGGUGCCUUGUCCUGACCCCAGUCUGUCUGUCUGGCGCCCUGACAUUUACUUUGCAUCCGUGUCGGAAACAUUUGAGAAAAAGGUUGAUGACUACAGUCUAGAGUGGGCAGCUCAAGCAGAGAAAAGUUACAAGAAGUCAGAGCUUUCUCUCGACAGGUUGAGGACCCUGUUGCAGCUGAAGUGGCAGCGCUCGCUGUGUGACCCAGGCGAGGCUGUGGGCCUGCUGGCUGCCCAGAGCAUCGGGGAGCCCUCCACCCAGAUGACCCUGAACACCUUCCACUUUGCAGGCAGAGGCGAGAUGAACGUUACCCUGGGCAUUCCGAGGUUGAGGGAGAUCCUCAUGGUGGCCAGCGCCAACAUCAAGACGCCCAUGAUGAGUGUGCCCGUGGUCAACACCAGGAAAGCACUGAGGAGAGUGCGGAGCCUGAAGAAGCAGCUCACCAGGGUGUGCUUAGGGGAGGUGUUGCAGAGGGUUGAUGUCCAGGAGUCCUUCUGUAUGGGAGAAAAACAGAACAAAUUCCGGGUUUACCAGCUGCGGUUUCAGUUCCUGCCAUAUGCAUAUUACCAGCAGGAGAAGUGCCUGAGACCUGAGGACAUCCUGCACUUCAUGGAAAAAAAAUUCUUUAAACUUCUGAUGGAAGCCAUCAGAAAGAAGAAUAAUAAAGCCUCAGCCUUCAGAAGCGUAAACACUCGAAGAGCUACACAGCGGGAUCUAGACAAUGCGGGAGAGUCAGGGAGGAAUCGGGGAGAGCAGGAAGGUGAUGAGGACGAGGAGGGGCACAUUGUGGAUGCUGAAGCCGAGGAGGGGGAUGCUGAUGCCUCUGAUGCCAAACGCAAGGAGAAGCAAGAGGAGGAGGUUGAUUAUGAGAGCGAGGAGGAGGAGGAGAAGGAGGGAGAGGAGAACGAGGACGAGGACGUGCAGGAGGAGAGGGGUGUCCAUGGUGAAGGCUCCUACAGGGCCCAGGAGCAGGAUGAAGAAGUGGGUUCAGGCCCUGAAGAUACCUCGCCCCCCCGGAAACCCUCCCGCAGUCGGGCACCCCAGGGAGCUGAGGCCGUGGAGUGCAGGGUCCAGGCCGUGCGUGAAGCCCACCAGUUCAUAGAGAACUACCAGUACGACACUGAGGAUAGCCUGUGGUGCGAGGUGACAUUGAAGCUCCCUCUGAUCAAGAUGAACUUCGACAUGAGCUCCCUGGUAGUGUCUUUGGCUCAUGAUGCUGUCGUCUAUGCAACCAAGGGCAUCACUCGGUGCCUCCUGAAUGAAACCACCAACAGCAAGAAUGAGAAGGAGUUUGUGCUAAACACAGAAGGAAUCAACCUCCCAGAGCUGUUUAAGUACAACGAAAUUCUGGAUCUGCGCCGCCUCUAUUCCAAUGACAUUCAUGCCAUGGCCAACACAUAUGGCAUCGAGGCCGCACUGAGGGUGAUCGAGAAGGAGAUCAAAGAUGUGUUUGCAGUGUACGGCAUCGCUGUCGAUCCUCGCCAUCUCUCCCUGGUCGCUGAUUAUAUGUGCUUUGAGGGUGUUUAUAAGCCGCUGAAUCGCUAUGGGAUCCGGUCCAACUCCUCCCCUCUACAGCAGAUGACGUUUGAAACCAGCUUCCAGUUUCUGAAGCAAGCCACUUUGAUGGGAGCCCAUGAUGAGCUGAGGUCUCCUUCAGCCUGCCUCGUGGUCGGGAAGGUUGUCAAGGGCGGGACGGGCCUGUUCGAGCUCAAGCAGCCCCUGAGAUAGCAGCCACUGUGGCACCAUCUGCCAGUCAGAGGACCUGGCCAGAUGUGCCACAUGGCUGAGCCCGUGUGAACUGCUGCAGGUGGACAUCCUGUCCUGGCCCCACCCUGCUCUGGCCCUGCUGUGGCCAGCACCGUGCCUAGCCCUGUGAGAUGUGCUCCUCGUGGCAGUGACAGUGGUGGGACUCCCCUGGGUCAGCUGUGUGUUGGGAGGACCAGGGGCAGUGAUUCCAAAGAUAAGCUUUCCAGGUGAGAGAGCAGUGGCCCCCCAGUAGGGGAGCCAGGGCAGUGCAGCCUGUGAGGGGGUGACAGCAAAGCAGCUCUCUGAAAUCUCACCUUCUCCUCAAGCCCUUCUGCCUACCCAGCCUCCUCUACUAACAGAACCCGGUUUCAACCCGGCUGCAGUACGCCUAGCCAUGACUGGCCUAAGCCGAUCACAGGAACCCCAGCCCUGCUGCUCCUGACUGGCCUGACCCUGAUCAUGGACACAUAAGUCGCUUCUGGGAAAAUACAGUCUAUCACAUCUACAGGGAGAGAGCCGUCCUUCCUCCUUUGGCCAUGAGGGUGCCACUGAGAAGACUUAGAGGCCAAGGGCCCUGGCACGUUGAGCCCGUUGUGAUCCGUUUUGAUUCUGCACUGUAUGUUGCAGUCAAUACACUGUCAUCACUCUUACAUUUUAGGGGAGGAUUAUGUCUUUCACCAUGUUCCUAAAUUUAAAAAAAGCUGCACAGUCCUCUUCUGCAAGUUGAAUAAAUGAGAGUGAGAUCAACAAAUUCAAGGGAAGUUAAUUAUCACCUCAACUGGUGGAAAAGAUCAAAUGCCUGUGUCAAAUACAAUUUGCAACUUUAUGUGAACAAAAGUUUUCUACAACACACAUCUGGCAGAUGUUACCACAACAGACAUUCUGGUCUCAAGGUUGUAGGUCAACGAUCAUUUGAGCCAUCACUAUUGGAACUUAGAACUUUCACUACUUCAGGAAAACUUUUUGUCCUUUUUAGCAAAUAAACUUAGAAACUGAAUUUUAUG